UACGGGGGGGGCAAGCGUUAUUCGGAAUUACUGGGCGUAAAGGGCUCGUAGGUGGCCAACUAAGUCAGACGUGAAAUCCCUCGGCUUAACCGGGGAACUGCGUCGGAUACUGGAUGGCUUGAAUUCGGGAGAGGGAUGCAGAAUUCCAGGUGUAGCGGUGAAAUGCGUAGAUAUCUGGAGGAAUACCGGUGGCGAAGGCGGCAUCCUGGACCGACAUUGACGCUGAGGAGCGAAAGCUAGGGGAGCAAACGGG
rnacentral:rRNA from 1 species